rnacentral:rRNA from 1 species
AACGAACGCUGGCGGCAUGCCUAACACAUGCAAGUCGAACGAGACCUUCGGGUCUAGCGGCGCACGGGUGCGUAACGCGUGGGAAUCUGCCCUUGGGUUCGGAAUAACAGUUGGAAACGACUGCUAAUACCGGAUGAUGACGUAAGUCCAAAGAUUUAUCGCCCAAGGAUGAGCCCGCGUAGGAUUAGCUAGUUGGUGAGGUAAAGGCUCACCAAGGCGACGAUCCUUAGCUGGUCUGAGAGGAUGAUCAGCCACACUGGGACUGAGACACGGCCCAGACUCCUACGGGAGGCAGCAGUGGGGAAUAUUGGACAAUGGGCGAAAGCCUGAUCCAGCAAUGCCGCGUGAGUGAUGAAGGCCUUAGGGUUGUAAAGCUCUUUUACCCGGGAUGAUAAUGACAGUACCGGGAGAAUAAGCUCCGGCUAACUCCGUG